UACGAAGGGGGCUAGCGUUGUUCGGAAUCACUGGGCGUAAAGCGCACGUAGGCGGAUUUUUAAGUCAGGGGUGAAAUCCCGAGGCUCAACCUCGGAACUGCCUUUGAUACUGGGGAUCUGGAGUCCGGGAGAGGUGAGCGGAACUGCGAGUGUAGAGGUGAAAUUCGUAGAUAUUCGCAAGAACACCAGUGGCGAAGGCGGCUCACUGGCCCGGAACUGACGCUGAGGUGCGAAAGCGUGGGGAGCAAACAGG
rnacentral:rRNA from 1 species